rnacentral:rRNA from 1 species
AUUGAACGCUGGCGGCGCGCCUAACACAUGCAAGUCGAACGAGCGAGCGAGAGCUUUCUUUCUCUAGCGAGUGGCGCACGGGUGAGUAACGCGUGAGGAACCUGCCUCAAAGAGGGGGACAACACUUGGAAACGACUGCUAAUACCGCAUAUGCCCACUUCUCGCCCUCGAGCAGGUGGAAAAGGAGCAAUCCGCUUUCAGAUGGCCUUGCGUCCGAUUAGCUAGUUGGUGGGGUAACGGUCCACCAAUGCGACGAUCGCUAGCCGGACUGAGAGGUUGAACGGACACAUUGGGAGUGGGACACGGUCCAGAAUCCUACGGGAGGGAGGAGUGGGGAAUAGUGCAAAAUGGGGGAAACGAUGAUGCAGCGACGACGCGAGGAGGAAGAAGGUCUUCGGAUUGUAAACUGCUGUUGUUGGGGAAGAUAAUGACGGUACCCAACAAGAAAGUGACGGCUAACUACGUG